rnacentral:rRNA from 1 species
GACGAGCGCUGGCGGCGUGCUUAACACAUGUAAGUCACGGGGGCCCGCAAGGGCAACCGGCGAACGGGUGCGUAACACGUGAACAACCUGCCCUCGUGUGGGGGAUAGCCAUGCUAACGCGUGGGUAAUACCGCAUACGUUCCCUUGGAGGAGUCUCUGGGGGAGGAAAGCUCCGGCGCACGGGGAGGGGUUCGCGGCCUAUCAGCUAGUUGGCGGGGUAAUCGGCCCACCAAGGCGACGACGGGUAGCNGGUCUGAGAGGAUGGCCAGCCACAUUGGGACUGAGAGACGGCCAGACUCCUACGGGAGGCAGCAGGUGGGAAUCUUGCGCAAUGGCCGAAAGGCUGACGCAGCGACGCCGCGUGUGGGAUGAAGC